UACAGAGGUCUCAAGCGUUUGUUCGGAUUCAUUGGGCGUAAAGGGUGCGUAGGUGGCGUGGUAAGUCGGGUGUGAAAUUUCGGAGCUUAACUCCGAAACUGCAUUCGAUACUGCUGUGCUUGAGGACUGGAGAGGAGACUGGAAUUUACGGUGUAGCAGUGAAAUGCGUAGAUAUCUGGAGGAAUACCGGUGGCGAAGGCGGCAUCCUGGACCGGCAUUGACGCUGAUGAGCGAAAGCUAGGGGAGCAAACGGGG
rnacentral:rRNA from 1 species